AUUGAACGCUGGCGGCAGGCCUAACACAUGCAAGUCGAGCGGAUGAAGGGAGCUUGCUCCUGGAUUCAGCGGCGGACGGGUGAGUAAUGCCUAGGAAUCUGCCUGGUAGUGGGGGAUAACGUCCGGAAACGGGCGCUAAUACCGCAUACGUCCUGAGGGAGGAAGUGGGGGAUCUUCGGACCUCACGCUAUCAGAUGAGCCUAGGUCGGAUUAGCUAGUUGGUGGGGUAAAGGCCUACCAAGGCGACGAUCCGUAACUGGUCUGAGAGGAUGAUCAGUCACACUGGAACUGAGACACGGUCCAGACUCCUACGGGAGGCAGCAGUGGGGAAUAUUGGACAAUGGGCGAAAGCCUGAUCCAGCCAUGCCGCGUGUGUGAAGAAGGUCUUCGGAUUGUAAAGCACUUUAAGUUGGGAGGUAGGGCAGUAAGUUAAUACCUUGCUGUUUUGACGUUACCAACAGAAUAAGCACCGGCUAACUUCGUG
rnacentral:rRNA from 1 species